AAAUUGAAGAGUUUGAUCAUGGCUCAGAUUGAACGCUGGCGGCAGGCCUAACACAUGCAAGUCGAACGGUAACAGGAAUCAGCUUGCUGAUUUGCUGACGAGUGGCGGACGGGUGAGUAAUGUCUGGGAAACUGCCUGAUGGAGGGGGAUAACUACUGGAAACGGUAGCUAAUACCGCAUAAUGUCGCAAGACCAAAGAGGGGGACCUUCGGGCCUCUUGCCAUCGGAUGUGCCCAGAUGGGAUUAGCUAGUAGGUGGGGUAACGGCUCACCUAGGCGACGAUCCCUAGCUGGUCUGAGAGGAUGACCAGCCACACUGGAACUGAGACACGGUCCAGACUCCUACGGGAGGCAGCAGUGGGGAAUAUUGCACAAUGGGCGCAAGCCUGAUGCAGCCAUGCCGCGUGUAUGAAGAAGGCCUUCGGGUUGUAAAGUACUUUCAGCGGGGAGGAAGGGAGUAAAGU
rnacentral:rRNA from 1 species